AAACACUACAACUAAACUUGAUGCCGUGCGACUUGUUUUCUUGCAUCCUCUUCAGUAAAUUUUAAUCCACUAAACAAACAUCGCAGUGUACACGAGACCUCUGGUGCGCGCAUAAAUCGCGGACGCGCAGCAGCCUGUGCAGGACGCUGCUGGAGCGCGCUUUAAUAGACAGUUUGACGUGCGGACUCCUCCAAGCUGAGAGUGCGAGCUCUUCUGCCACUUAAUCUGCUUUAACUGCUCCACAAAAAAAACACAGAUUCUAAAGGUUCACCAUGGGAAACAGGUUCAGCAGAAGGAGAGAUGCCCCAGCGACCACUGAAGCUGUGGCCGCCGAACAGAAGGCUGCAGAGGAGCCAGCAUCUGCUCAGCCAGCAGAAGAAUCUGCAAUAACACAGACUCAGGAGGCCAUAGAGAACCUGGAUGUGGUGGUGGGGGAGCAGGUGACACUGAAGGCACGUUUACCCACUGAAGAAUGUGCAUCAGAGUGUAAGGAGGUAGAAGCUCCUGCUGCACCAGUGUGUGAUCCAGAACCAGAGCCUGCCGUAAAGGAAACCCCAGCUCCAGUCCAGCCUGAACCUCUGGUCACAGAUAGUGAACCAACACCUCCAGAGCCAGAGCCCGUUGUUGAAGCUCCACCUGCCCCAGAACCAGUCCCAGAACCAGCCCCAGAGCCAGUCCCAGAGCCAGAAUCUGCCCCAGUUCCAGAACCUGACCCAGUUCCAGAGCCUGAACCAGUUCCAGAGCCUGAACCAGUUGCAGAGGUAGACCCGGUUCCAGAGGGAGACCCGGUUCCAGAGGCAGUCAUCGAGGCGGAACCUGAGACCAUCCCAGAACCAGAACCAACCCCAGCUGAGCCCAUGGAGCAGCAGACAGACCUGCUCUCCCAAGAGUCUCUCCCAGAGCCAGGGCUUCCUUCACGCCCUCUGAUCGACUUUGCUGUCCCUGAUGUCACCCCCAUCCCCGUCAGUCCAGACGAGCCGGCGGACGUCCCAGCAGGUGAGCAAAGCCAAGACAGCGCCGAGGCUGCCGAGAAUUCCACACUGGAGCCAGAGCAGCCUGCAGAAACGUCAGAAGCUCUGGAAAAGCUGGUGGAGGUGGAGGCGCCAGAGUGUUUGGAGAAGCUUGGGAGUGACGUCAACGAGGAAAGCGUUUGUGAAAUCCUAAAGAACUUAGAGCUGAAAGGAAAUGACCUUGUCAAUGACCUCAUUCCAAGUGAUGUCAAGAUCCCCGACGACACUCCCAUCAUAGACGUGAGCACAUCCACCGAGCUGAUGUGAAUCCAUCAGAGAGGAUUCAUUAAAGAAGUCAAUAGAUGUUUUUCUGUGAAACCCUUUUAACCCUUUACAUGAAUUCUAAAUGGAUCAAAAAACUAUUUUUUUGUCACUUUACGUACACUAAUUAAGGCAAACAGCUAUUUCCUUUUUACAGUGAGACAAAGGUACCAAAAGAGCUGUGGAACAAAAUGAACUGAGAAUUAAACGACAUAUUUUUCUGUUUCUGAUACACUCAUACAGCCAGGUUGGGGGGUAAAGGGGCUCCAGGGGCUACAAGUAGUUACGUGUAUUGUUAGACGUCAGAGAUCUUCCUCUAUGCAAAUCUGUCAAGCAAAACUUUGAAUCUAUCUCUCGGAGGGAGGUGAAGAAAGAUGUCUCAGUGCUAUAUAAGACAACAAAAAGUAGCGCACUGAGUACCAAGUGAGAAGCAAAAUCUUUUGAGAAUCUGUGAAUGUGCAGCAUUGAUAGGUUAAUGAAGGACAACAGAUGAGGGACAAAAAUGCAACCAAAGGUGAAGUUAGUAUAUGCAUUCCACUGAACAGCAGGAUACAAGUGUCCGAUAAACAUUUAUGCCUUAAUAUUGUCGUGUUUGGACUUUGCAAUAAUCCUCUAAAAGGAGUGUUUGUCACCUUGUGGUAUUUUAAAAGCAACUAGGGGAUUUUUUAAAAAUUUGAGUUGUGGCUUGCUUGUGAAAAUAAAAAUGGUAUUCCAC
ensembl:lncRNA